AUUGAACGCUGGCGGCAUGCCUUACACAUGCAAGUCGAACGGUAACAGGUCUUCGGAUGCUGACGAGUGGCGAACGGGUGAGUAAUACAUCGGAACGUGCCCGAGGGUGGGGGAUAACGAGGCUAAAGCUUUGCUAAUACCGCAUACGAUCACAGGAUGAAAGCAGGGGACCGCAAGGCCUUUCGCCCACGUCGCGGCAUGUAGCAGAUUAGGGAGUUGGUGGGAUAAAAGCUUACCAAGCCGACUAUCUGUAGCUGGUCUGAGAGGACGACGAGCCACACUGGGACUGAAACACGGCCGUGACUCCUACGGGUGGCAGCAGUGGGGAAUUUUGGACAAUGGGCGCAAGCCUGAUCCAGCCAUGCCGCGUGCAGGAUGAAGGCCUUCGGGUUGUAAACUGCUUUUGUACGGAACGAAAAGACUCCUUCUAAUAAAGGGGGUCCAUGACGGUACCGUAAGAAUAAGCACCGGCUAACUACGUGCCAGCCGCCGCCGUAAAAC
rnacentral:rRNA from 1 species